AUUGAACGCUGGCGGCAGGCCUAACACAUGCAAGUCGAGCGGAUGAAGGGAGCUUGCUCCUGGAUUCAGCGGCGGACGGGUGAGUAAUGCCUAGGAAUCUGCCUGGUAGUGGGGGAUAACGUCCGGAAACGGGCGCUAAUACCGCAUACGUCCUGAGGGAGAGAGUGGGGGAUCUUCGGACCUCACGCUAUCAGAUGAGCCUAGGUCGGAAUAGCUAGUUGGUGGGGUAAAGGCCUACCAAGGCGACGAUCCGUAACUGGUCUGAGAGGAUGAUCAGUCACACUGGAACUGAGACACGGUCCAGACUCCUACGGGAGGCAGCAGUGGGGAAUAUUGGACAAUGGGCGAAAGCCUGAUCCAGCCAUGCCGCGUGUGUGAAGAAGGUCUUCGGAUUGUAAAGCACUUUAAGUUGGGAGGAAGGGCAGUAAGUUAAUACCUUGCUGUUUUGACGUUACCAACAGAAUAAGCACCGGCUAACUUCGUG
rnacentral:rRNA from 1 species